rnacentral:rRNA from 1 species
GUGAGGAAUAUUGCGCAAUGGGGGAAACCCUGACGCAGCGACGCCGCGUGGGUGACGAAGGCCUUCGGGUCGUAAAACCCUUUUGGCAGGGACGAGUGAGGACGGUACCUGCAGAACAAGUCUCGGCUAACUACGUGCCAGCAGCCGCGGUAAAACGUAGGAGGCGAGCGUUAUCCGGAUUUACUGGGCGUAAAGCGCGCGUAGGCGGUUGGUCAAGUCGGAUGUAAAAGCCCCUGGCUCAACUGGGGGAGGCCAUUCGAUACUGAUCGGCUUGAGGGUGAGAGAGGAAAGUGGAAUUCCCGGUGUAGCGGUGGAAUGCGUAGAGAUCGGGAGGAACACCAGUGGCGAAAGCGGCUUUCUGGCUCACCCCUGACGCUGAGUGCACGAAAGCGUGGGGAGCAAACGGGAUUAGAAACCCUAGUAGUCC